AAACUGCAGUACCAGCAGAUGGGGAGCUUAAGAAGGAAGCUAGUUCAUGGCACAGCACCCGUAAAGUCCCCAGAAUUGGAGGCACCAGAUUCUUCUGAAAGAAAAGGAGCAAUUCAGCACUUGUCAUGCAGAUAAGAGGUCAACACCCCAGGACGGAGUGAAAACCUAAGGGUCUUAGCAUAAGCUAUUUCUUCUGCCUGGAGGGCGCAUCCCCCAACCAUCACAUGACUGGCCACAUUGCUCAGACUUUAGCCUAGAUGUCACCUCUUCAGAGAAGCCUUCUCUGACCACCUUAUUUAAUGUUGAUCACUCCACCUGCAGCCCAAACACCAGCUAAUAAAUUCCCUCCUACUCCUCCAUCGUUUCUUUAAUUUUUA
rnacentral:lncRNA from 10 species